AGAGCGAACGCUGGCGGCAUGCUUAACACAUGCAAGUCGCACGGGCACUUCGGUGUCAGUGGCGGACGGGUGAGUAACGCGUAGGUAUCUAUCCUUGGGUGGGGGAUAACGGUUGGAAACGACUGCUAAUACCGCAUGAUAACUGAGGUUUAAAGGCGCAAGUCGCCUGGGGAGGAGCCUGCGUACGAUUAGCUAGUUGGUGGGGUAAAGGCCUACCAAGGCGACGAUCGUUAGCUGGUCUGAGAGGAUGAUCAGCCACAUUGGGACUGAGACACGGCCCAAACUCCUACGGGAGGCAGCAGUGGGGAAUAUUGGACAAUGGGCGAAAGCCUGAUCCAGCAAUGCCGCGUGUGUGAAGAAGGUCUUCGGAUUGUAAAGCACUUUCGACGGGGACGAUGAUGACGGUACCCGUAGAAGAAGCCCGGCUAACUUCGUGCCAGCAGCCGC
rnacentral:rRNA from 1 species